rnacentral:rRNA from 1 species
AUUGAACGCUAGCGGGAUGCCUUACACAUGCAAGUCGAACGGAGUGGCGAACGGGUGAGUAAUGUAUCGGAACGUCCCCAGUAGCGGGGGAUAACUACGCGAAAGCGUAGCUAAUACCGCAUACUAUCGGAGCGGCCGAUAUCGGAUUGACUAGGUGGUGGGGUAACGGCUCACCAGGGCGACUAUCCGUAGCUGGUUUGAGAGGACGACCAGCCACACUGGGAGUGAGACACGGCCUAGACUCCUACGGGAGGCAGCAGUGGGGAGUUUUGGUCAAUGGGGGAAACCCUGAUCCAGCCAUCCCGCGUGUGCGAUGAAGUCCUUCGGGUUGUAAAGCACUUUUGGCAGGACAGCGGUACCUGCAGAAUAAGCACCGGCUAACUACGUGCCAGCCGCCGCGGUAAUUC